rnacentral:rRNA from 1 species
AGCAGCCGCGGUAAUUCCAGCUCCAAUAGCGUAUAUUAAAGUUGUUGCAGUUAAAAAGCUCGUAGUUGAACUUCGGAAUUUAUUCAUUGGUCAGGCUUAACUGUCUGUACUGGUGUAUUGAAUUCCUACCUUCUGACGAAUCUCCAUGUCAUUUACUUGGUGUGGUGGGGAAUCAGGACUGUUACUUUGAAAAAUUAGAGUGUUUAAAGCAGGCUAACGUCUGAAUACAUUAGCAUGGAAUAAUAAAAUAGGACGGUUUGGUUCUAUUUUGUUGGUUUCUAGGAUCACCGUAAUGAUUAAUAGGGAUAGUUGGGGGCAUUAGUAUUCAAUUGUCAGAGGUGAAAUUCUUGGAUUUAUUGAAGACUAACUACUGCGAAAGCAUUUGCCAAGGAUGUUUUUCAUUAAUCAAGAACGAAAGUUAGGGGAUCGAAGACGAUCAGAUACCGUCGU